rnacentral:rRNA from 1 species
AGUUGCUGCAGUUAAAAAGCUCGUAGUUGAACGUUCGGGUUCCGCGGGACGGGCCGCCCGCGAGGGACGGCGCCGCCCCGGGGCUCGUGAUAUCUCAUCUCGCCGCCCGUCGCGAGGCGGACGGAGGGAUGGAUGAGGUUACCUGGAAAAAAUCGGGGCGAUCUAGGCGGGCGAACCUCGCCAACGAACGAUCGGACAUGGGAUAACGGAAGAGGGCGUCGGCUCGACUUCGUCGGUUCCUCGGGCCGAGGCACGUACGGUGAAUAGGGACGGUCGGGGCCGCCCGUACCGGGUCGUGAGAGGUGAAAUUCUAGGAUCGACCCGAGACGAACCGCCGCGAAAGCAUUCGGCAAGGACGCUUUCAUUAAUCAAGAACGAAAGUCGGGGGAUCGAAGACGAUCAGAUACCGUCGUAGUCCCGACCGUAAACGAUGCCGACCGAGGGUCCCGGAGGAGUUACGUACGACCCUCCGGGCCCUCCCGCGAGAAAUCAGGAG